rnacentral:lncRNA from 12 species
GAGGCCAUCCAGUCCAUUCCCCUCACUUCACAGAGAAGCUGUGAGCUGGACGCUUCACAAAACACAUCUCCUAGCCUUCAGUGAGGAAACGUCA